UAUGUUUUUGCCACUUUCAGUUAUAUUGAUUAUCUCUUUUUGGGUGAUUACGAUGAUCGUGGCCAACAUAGCCUGGAAACUAUUACUCUUCUCCUUGCAUUGAAGGUAUUACUUUCCCCUCAAGCUUGUCAAUGUGAUCAGUCUUAUCCAAGCAAAUAUUUUUAUGAAAAUAUUUAGCAUCAAAGAAUUCUUGAAGAUUGAAUAUCCACAUAAUAUACAUUUAAUUCGUGGAAACCAUGAGGCAACAGACAUUAAUGCUUUAUUUGGGUUUCGUACCGAGUGCAUCGAGAGAAUGG